rnacentral:rRNA from 1 species
CGGCGGACGGGUGAGUAAUGCCUAGGAAUCUGCCUGGUAGUGGGGGACAACGUUUCGAAAGGAACGCUAAUACCGCAUACGUCCUACGGGAGAAAGCAGGGGACCUUCGGGCCUUGCGCUAUCAGAUGAGCCUAGGUCGGAUUAGCUAGUUGGUGAGGUAAUGGCUCACCAAGGCGACGAUCCGUAACUGGUCUGAGAGGAUGAUCAGUCACACUANAACUGAGACACGGUCCAGACUCCUACGGGAGGCAGCAGCA